UGUGUUAGAGUGCUGGUAUGUAGGCUACUGGUGUUGAGGGAAUCUGUGUGCUGGAGAAGCAAGAAGUCUCCCAAGCACGGGGCUUUUCCUCAGACAGCAGCCGCCACAGUCGCUGAGUAACCUAGGAGUGUAAUUUGGGUGUUUAGGGCGGGCAGAGAGUGCCAGCAGUGCCCUGGACACUAAGCUCUACAGUGUCAUAGUCUACCACUGUGGUGGCACUGUAUUGAUUUUCCAGUGUGAGGCUACCAUCUUUCAGUGCAGCGGCAGGCGGCCACACUCCAGCAUGCACUCGUAAAACAUUCGCCCACUCUCACACUCCAACAACCACUAGCACCCCUCUCACUCCUCUCCAAAAGCUAAGCAGGCGAGGUAGCAGAGAUGAGACUGGAGCGCAGUGCAGCAGAUGCGGAGUCUUCCUCCACGGAGACUGUCAGCGCAGCUGAGACAGAAAUGCUGUCGGAGGGACCGGGUAAGUGUAUAUGUUUGUUGUUUUUCUUGUUUCUUGUUUGUAAACAGCAAAUAAUUUUAUUUGUUUGGAGAAAUUAUACAGUAAUAAUUGUUAGUUAAUAAUUUCUGCUGCG